GGAUUGUGGCUCAGCGGUAGAGCGCUUGCCUAGCAUGUAUGAGGCCCUGGGUUCAAUCCUCAUCACCA
rnacentral:tRNA from 1 species